GAUGAACGCUAGCGGCAGGCCUAAUACAUGCAAGUCGAACGGUGUAGCAAUACACAGUGGCGCACGGGUGCGUAACACGUAUGCAACCUACCUUACAUUGGGGGAUAGCCUUUCGAAAGGGAGAUUAAUACCGCAUAAGACAGUAACUAGGCAUCUAGUAGCUGUUAAAGAUUUAUCGAUGUAAGCUGGGCAUGCGUCCAAUUAGUUAGUUUGCGAGGUAAUGGCUCACCAAGACGAUGAUUGGGAGGGGAACUGAAAGGUCCAUCCACCACACUAGAACUGAGAGACGGGCCAGACUCCUACGGGAGGCAGCAGUAGGGAAUAUUGGGCAAUGGUCGCAAGCCUGACCCAGCCAUGCCGCGUGCAGGAAGAAGGCGUUAUGCGUUGUAAACCGCUUUUAUACAGGAAGAAACGACCCUUGCGAGGGGCAUUGACGGUACUGUAUGAAUAAGCACCGGCUAACUCCGUGCCAGCCGCCGCAGUAACAC
rnacentral:rRNA from 1 species